GGACACCCUGUACAGUCGCAGUCUUGUGAUCCCGUAGGAUACACAUCUCAGUCUAACGCCCCGAGGAACGUACAUAUCAGUCUAACGCCCCGAGGGACGUACAUAUCAGUCUAACGCCCCGAGGGACGUACAUAUCAGUCUAGUGUUCUGCAGAAACACAUAUCAGUCAAAUGCUCCCGAAGGUGCAAAAUAAAUUGGUGAUCCCGUGGGACACCUACAAGGUAAACAUCCCAAUACAAUCUAACAAUUUAUCCCCUCAUUCCAUUCAAUCCAUCUUUCAGUUACUUCAAAACAUAAAGUUCUUUCUCUCGACGUCCUAACAGUCAACUUAUCUCACUUUAGUCAUAUGUCUGUCAAUAAUAUACUAAUACGUCAGUCAAUCAAACUAUACAGUCAAUACACCCCUCAGUUCACCAGCACAAACCACAGUUCAGUAUAAUCCACAUCCAACCGAAACAAAUUCACUAGUUCACAUCCAAAUCUUUAUACAGCACAAUCUAUUAAUAUCAUCAUGUACACAUAAGCAUAAUUUCAGUCAUUCACAUGUAUACUUUCGGCAAUCCACAUCAAUUCACACAUCAAUGUAUAUAUAUAUAUGUUUCCAGUCAAAUACAACAUACACUAAACAUUUAGUCUGCAACCAAACAUGUACAUCUUAAUCAUCAUCCAUACAGUCCAACACAACUCAAAAACUUUAGGUGAGUCCAGUAGAAAGUCCCUUACCUCAAAGUUGGGGAAGCUCCUUAAUCAACUAACGUCCUCGAAACAAUCCUAAGCACAACAACACAAAAUUCAAUUACUUUCACGAUACAUAUCUCACUUACUUUCCUCAACGUAAGUUCCAACUCACCGAUAUAUUGGCGAACUGAACCCUCAACAAUUCACAAAUUGGUUGUGAAUUUAAGUGAUCCAAAGUUACCUUUCACACCUUCAAGAAUAAUUUAUCAAAUUAGUCAAUUAACCCAUCCGUAACGUUUGAACACCUUGAAAACAUAACAACCCAUACUUAAAUUGUUUUGGAAACGACUACAAUUUCAUGACUUCAAUCUUACCAACAAAACUUCGACAGAGACAGAGACGAUUAGGACGGGGCACGGCGACGCAGAUCUGGGUAACGGCGCAGAGACAGAGGCUGCGCGGCGGUGCUGGGCAGAGGUCACGCAGCGGCUGACGCGUUGCAGCGGCAGUUUUUGGAUCGAAGAAGAAAAGAAAGGGUGGCGGUUGGGUUCGGCUUCGGUGAACGGAGACAGAAAUAGACGAAACCGGUGGACGGCUCGAUCUAGCGGUGCAGAACUGGACAGAGGGUCACACGGCGGUGGGCGGAAGGUCACGCAGCGGCCUUGCUUCGCAACAAAGACGGCGGCCGACGGUUGCAGCUGCGGUUUGGCUUGGCCUGACCGUCGACGUCGAACGAAAGAGGAAGAAAAGAAAAGAAGGGGCGGCGGUUGGACUGCGGCUGCGCACGAACGAAAAGAGAAUAGAUGGGGCGGCGGUUGCUGCGAACGGGAAGGAGAACGCACGGGGAGGAAGGAGAAGAGAGAAAAAAAAGAAAAAGAAAAUAAAAGAAAAAAUAUAUAUAUAUAUAUAAAAAUUAAAAAAAAUGUAUAUAUAUAUAUUUUUACCUUUGGACUUUACAAUAUCACUACAUAGACAGGUGAUGUUAUCAAUAUAUACAUUUAUAUAAAUAUAAUAACACGUAUUUUGUGACACAUAUAUAGUUCAGUUUUUUUCCUUCACGUUUUGUAUCAUUUUCUUUAUAUUUUUCUAUAUUCGAUUAGUAUUUUAUUUGAUUUGUUACAUACAUACUAAUGCAUAUAUUCAAUGAUACAGUAAUUGAAGUUGACAUCAUCCCAUUGAAUGUAAAACGUUCAGUUGGUCAACAAAAAAAUAUUAGAAUUCAUUCUAAAAUGAAGUUUUAAAUGUGGUUGUCAUAAACGAAAGAGAUGCAAGCUUUCCUUAUUGAACUAAUUUUUCUUUCUUAUUAUUAAACUUUUAGUAUGUUGAUUUAUACUUUUAUUUGAAAUAUUCAUAUUUCAGUUUUUAAUUUAGUUAUUUUAUUUCUAUAUUUUUUCAUAAAUUUUCAUCUACGGUACCAAUCAAAGUUUUUCAAUUUAUUAUAUUUAAUAUACUAUCCUUCAUACAUAACCACUCUUGUUUCAAUCACGAGUUAUUAUUUAUUAUGUAUAGAACUUUUUUUAAAAAAUAAUGUAAAUUUUGAAACAUAUGUCAAAAGUAGGUGAAUGCAAAACUAUUGACAAAAAUAGGUGAGUUGAGGUGAAGUUUUGUACCCCUACACAAUUUUCAUGCAGUGGACCCUACAUAGUUUAUUUUUUACUUUAUAUAUAUAUUACAUUGGGCCAACAUUUUUUAUUUUCUCAUUAUUUAUAUACGUGGGUCCCACACACUCUUCUUUUUUUCAUUAGGUGUGUAUAUAUAAAUAAUGACGUAUAUACUAGUACAUGAUACAUAUAUCUUAUGUGAUUUGUACAUAUAUAUACUACUUCAUAUUUUCAAUAGUACAUAAAUGAUGUCAUCUUUGAUGUACUCAAUAUAUCAUAGUAUAUUUCAAAUACAAAAUAUAAAAUUCUUACUAACCUUAAAUGAACAAUAUAUAUUAUGAUAUAUCCUUAUACUGCUGUUUCAAACAUAACUUAUUAUUUAUUACAUAUAAAAUAAAUAUUUGAAAUAAAAUAAAUAAACCAGUUUAACAAAUUGAUUGCAUAACACUUCAUUCAAAAAUAUAUAAUGUAUUGUUUCAUAUACACUAUUCAUAAGUCAAUUUAACAUUCAACCAUUUUUUUCGUAAAUUUCCUGAAUCUUCAAUUCUUUCAUCAAAGUCCCUACAUUACAAACAUAUUCAGUUGAUCUCAACAUUACAUAUUAGUGGUGUUCGCGAUUCGGUUUAAAGCUAAAACCGCAUCGAACCGCAAAAUGAUAAAAAAAAUCUUCAUUGAAACCGAACCGAACCGCUCAUCUAUGCCAAACCGAAUGAAAACCGAACACAUAUACAUAAAUAAAAUCAAAUCAAAAAAACCGAACGGCUUAUACAAAGUUAUAAACAUAGAAAUUUCAAAAUUACAGACAUAGAUGUUUCAAACAUUGAAAUUUGAAAGUCCAACAACACAUAGAAUUUUAAAAUCCACCUAAGAUGAAUAAAAGUCCUACAGUCAUACAAACUUCGUCAAGACAACUUGUCAUUUACGUUUUGAUUAUGUCAUUCUUCUCCUUUUUGUUCCUCUCAUUGAUUUUUGCCUCUAUACCCGUUUGAAGUCUAAAAAAGUCUUAUUAUUAACAUAUAUAUUUAGUUUUUAAAAUAAAGCAAUUCAGUUCGGUUUUAGAAUCGGUUCUUAACAUCUUAAACUGAACCGAACCAAAUUUUAUGUGGUUUUUUUGAAAUAGAAAUCGAAUCGAACCGAACCAUAUGCAUUCGAUUUCGGUUCGAUUAGUGAUUCGAUUCAGUUUUCAACUUCAUUUUGAACACCCCUAUUACAUAUACUAGAGAAUAACAAAUAUUUUAAUGACAUAUAUUACAUAUACUCAUCAUAAUUAUUUCUCAUUCAUGUUCUUGUAAACAUAAACAACUUUCAUAUAUAAUUAAUAUUAUUUCAAACAUAAUGUAUUAUUUACUACGUAAGAUAUGAAUAUUUAAAUAAAAUAAAUAAAUAAAUUGAUAUAAGAACAUUUCACUAAUAAAAUAUACAUUAUAUUAUUCAAUAUAUACUAUAAUUAUAUAAAAUAUAUGAAAAGAAUGCAAAAUAAAAAAGGACAAUUUUUUAAUAAAAUCAUAAAAAGCAAACUAAGGACAAUUUUUAUUAUUAAUAUUACUUUAAUAGAAUUUAAUCCAUAUUUUCAUAGAAUAUUUAAUAAAUGAAAAUCUUAAACGUGGUUCACUUUUCUUUUUAUUUUUAAUAUAUUAUUAAUAAUAAAAAGAGUAAAUUGGUCAUUUUUACUCUAUAUUUGUAUAAAAUAUUAGUCAAUUUAUGAUAUUUUUGAAAAUUUUAAAAAAUUUAUUGCAAUUUUGUAACAUGGUAUACAAUUUGAGUACACUUAGAUAAAAAUUCAAAGAAAAAAAAUAAUUUCACAUUAUAUAAGAUCAAGUCUAAACGGUAUAAAUUGAACCGCUUGUUAAAACCGAAUCAAACCACACCAUUUAUGUACAAAACAAAAAACACAGUUUGUUGCUGUCUCAAAUAGUCCAAACGAAUUUAAAUGGUUCGGUCUAUUUCAGCUUCAGUCUUCUGGAAUUCAAGGAAAUUUUGAUCUUCCAAGUCUUCAAUAUUUCAGAAGACGAUGAUCUCGAAGUUGAUAAGAACUUGCACGUCUUGAGAGCUCUAUAGAAGUUUGAAUCUUCAAUUCUUCAAAGCUUCAGUACUUCAGAGCUUCAUUUCUUCCUUCAACAAAAGAUCUCUCGAAUGAAUGACAAAGGUCUCUACUUAUAGAGAAAAUUGUGGACUUUAUGUGGGCUUGGACCCAUUUGCUUGUUGAGUUGUUGAGCUUGGACUUGGGCUUGGGCCAUUUUUUUAGUGGGCUUAGGCCCCUUUGUUUGGCCUGAUUUUUUAUCAGGGGCUUGAAUUGGGUUGGAAAACUUGACUACCCAAAUCCAAUCAAAUUAUAAUCAUCACAACUUGGGUGCGACGACGUGGUGUAAUUUCAUUGGUUGAAAUUUCUUGCUCAAUAAUUACAUUUAUACUACUCCAUAAUACAUAUAUAUUGUGAUUUGUUACAUAUAUACUACGUGUAAUGCCCCAAAGGUAUAUAUAUUAUAUAUAUAUAUAUAUAUAUAUAUAUAUAUAUAUAUAUAUAUAUAUAUUUUGUAAUUAAUUUAAAUAAAAAGAAAAGAAAAAGAAAUAUAUAUAUUUUGUUUUUCUUUUCCUUUUUCUUUUCUUUCCCUAUUUCUCUUCUCCUCCGUCGUGCGUCGUGCGACCCACCUUCCCCUUCUCUCCGUUCGCGCGCAACCGCCGCCGGCCAUCUCCGUUCCUCUUCUCCUUCCGUUCGUGCCCAGUCCAGAUCUGCGUCGCAGCCCAGCAACCGCCGCCCCUAUUUCCUUCUCUCCGCCGUGCGCCGCGACUCCCACGAUCCUUUCCCUUUCGUUUUCUUCCCGCCGCAGCCCAGCUGCAGCCCGCGCGCCGAUCUGCCGUCUCCAUCGUCGAUUCUGUCUCCGUGGAAGCCGAACCCAACCGCCGUCUCUAUCUCCGUCCGCGAGGCAAGUCGCACGCGCUCACGCCUCAGACGAACAGCCUCGCCGACGCAGGUCACGCCGCAUCGCACGAGUUCGGCUACGUUGUCGGGCUACUCUCGUCCGCGCUAACUGAUGUUGAACGUCCGAACCGUUCUGCCUUCGUCGAUACCGCUGUCCCAUUUACGAAUCGCGGACCUGUUCACGUGCAGAAGUGUUUUGCACGAUGUCUUUUGUGUAGAUCCUGCGGCAACUUCUAUUUAACGUCGAUGGUCAAAGUCUUGUUACAAGAUAUUGGUAAGGAUGAGAUUGUUCGGUAAAAAGGUCUUACAUUUGUAAAUACAUUAAGAUGUGAUGUUGUUUAAUUGGUUGAAUUGAUCUUUGUUCUUGAAGGCGACAUCGGUGAUUUGGAGUUAGUGUCCUUGAGUUACGCCUUAAGCUUUGUUGGAGUUCGAUUCUUUACUCUUGGGGUUUGUUUGUUGAAGUUAGUUCGACUAAGGAAUUUUACAUAAAGAUCCAGGUAAGGGAUUUUCUACUGGACUCAAUUGUGAUUGUGAACUGUGAUUGUGAGCUGUAUGUGUGUUGAAUGUAUACUGUGGGUUGACUGAAAAUAUAUAUGAAUGUAUAUGAAUUGAAGUAGACUUGACGUCGAAUGUAUGUCGUGAUUGUCAUGGAAUCUAUAUAUAAAUGUGUGUAUGUGGACAGGACGGAGAUUGUAGAUUGUGUUUGUAUGAGAUUCUCGUUUAGAUUGGGUGUAUGAUUACGCUAAAGUAUGACUGUGUGCUGGUGAACUGAGGGGUGCAUUGACUGUAUAGUGGAUUGACUGAUGUAUUAGCAUAUUAUUGACAGACAUAUGACUGUAGUAAAAUAAGUUGACUGUUAGGAUGUUGAAAGAAAGAACUUUGUGACUUGAAGUAACUGAAAGAUGGGUUGAAUGGAAUGAGGGGAAAAUUGUUAGAUUGUAUUGGAUGUUUACCUUGUAGGUGUCCCACGGGAUCACCAAUUUAUUGUGCACCUUCGGGAGCAUUAGACUGAUAUGUGUUUCUGCAGAACACUAGACUGUAUGUACGUCCCUCGGGGUGUUAGACUGAUAUGUACGUCCUCGGGGCGUUAGACUGAGAUGUGUAUCCUACGGGAUCACAAGACUGCGACUGUACAAGGUGUCCCAAUAGAACUUUAACAAUUUAUUUUCCCCUGACGAGACCAGUAGAGGGUCUCUUACUGAGUAUUUAAAUACUCACCCUCUUAUGUUUAAUUUUCAGGCAAAGGUAAUAAAGGCGGCAAACAGGCGAGGGGCAGGAAGGAACGUGAUGCCAUAGGAAACGUGUUUUUUUCCGCUUAGGUUCUUGUGAGGUUUAAAAUGAAUUGAAAUUUAGUUUACAAACGUUUGUUGUAAAUAGUAUUAUUUUAUGUUUUCUUGAAUGUUUAAAAAUCAGGCCUGACUUGAAAUGUUUUUUUUAAUUGUUUACGUUUUGUUUUAUAUUAAUCAAAGUCUUUAUUUGUUAAAAUUUACGAUCUCGACUUACUUAGAAAAGUUGGGUCGUUACACUACCUCAUUAUCUAAUAUUGCUUAGAGAUAUAUACAAUCAGACAUAUAUAGUGACAUACAAUAAUCGAAAAUAUUUUUCAAUUCAAUCUGUUCUUUAUUUUUUUGUUUAUCUUAUAGUAAUAUUAUGUUGUUAGUCAUAUAAACAUUUAUAUCUUAAGUAUGUUGUAACAACAUGUAGUAAACUAUAUAUUCUAAUAAUUAAUAUUUAAAAUAUAUAUUUAUAUAGUAAAUACUACUAAAACAGUAAAAUACACAUUCUUAGUGUAUAUAUAAUAUGCAGUGAGAAUAUCAUACAUACAUAUUCUCACUUCGUAUAAUUAUAUACCUUCUAUUUGUCAUAUAUUUUUAAAUGAACAAUAUAUACUAUAAUAUACUCGUAAAUUAUAAUAUGUUUAUGAUGUGAUUUAAUAUAUAGAUACACCUUAUUUACAACAUAAAUAUUUAGUGACAUAUAGUUCUACAUAAUUUAUAGUUGAAUUUCAAUAUAUAUCACUACAUAGACAGGUGAUGUUAUCAAUAUAUACAUUUAUAUAAAUAUAAUAACACGUAUUUUGUGACACAUAUAUAGUUCAGUUUUUUUCUUCACGUUUUGUAUCAUUUUCUUUAUAUUUUUCUAUAUUCGAUUAGUAUUUUAUUUGAUUUGUUACAUACAUACUAAUGCAUAUAUUCAAUAAUACAGUAGUUGAAGUUGACAUCAUCCCAUUGAAUGUCAAACGUUCAGUUGGUCAACAAAAAAAUAUUAGAAUUCAUUCUAAAAUGAAGUUUUAAAUGUGGUUGUCAUAAACGAAAGAGAUGCAAGCUUUCCUUAUUGAACUAAUUUUUCUUUCUUAUUAUUAAACUUUUAGUAUGUUGAUUUAUACUUUUAUUUGAAAUAUUCAUAUUUCAGUUUUAAUUUAGUUAUUUUAUUUCUAUAUUUUUUCAUAAAUUUUCAUCUACGGUACCAAUCAAAGUUUUUCAAUUUAUUAUAUUUAAUAUACUAUCCUUCAUACAUAACCACUCUUGUUUCAAUCACGAGUUAUUAUUUAUUAUGUAUAGAACUUUUUUUAAAAAAUAAUGUAAAGUUUGAAACAUAUGUCAAAAGUAGGUGAAUGCAAAACUAUUGACAAAAAUAGAUGAGUUGAGGUGAAGUUUUGUACCCCUACACAAUUUUCAUGCAGUGGACCCUACAUAGUUUAUUUUUUAUUUAUAUAUAUAUAUUACAUUGGGCCAACAUUUUUUAUUUUCUCAUUAUUUAUAUACGUGGGUCCCACACACUCUACUUUUUUUCAUUAGGUGUGUAUAUAUAAAUAAUGACGUAUAUACUAGUACAUGAUACAUAUAUCUUAUGUGAUUUGUUACAUAUAUAUACUACUUCAUAUUUUCAAUAGUACAUAAAUGAUGUCAUCUUUGAUGUACUCAAUAUAUCAUAUAUAUAUUUCAAAUACAAAAUAUAAAAUUCUUACUAACCUUAAAUGAACAAUAUAUAUUAUGAUAUAUCCUUAUACUGCUGUUUCAAACAUAACUUAUUAUUUAUUACAUAUAAAAUAAAUAUUUGAAAUAAAAUAAAUAAACCAGUUUAACAAAUUGAUUGCAUAACAUUUCAUUCAUAAAAUAUAUAAUGUAUUGUUUCAUAUACACUAUUCAUAAGUCAAUUUAACAUUCAACCAUUUUUUUUCAUACAAUUUCCUGAAUCUUCAAUUCUUUCAUCAAAGUCCCUACAUUACAAACAUAUUCAGUUGUCUCAACAUUACAUAUUAGUGGUGUUCGCGGUUCGGUUUGAAGCUAAAACCGCAUCGAACCGCAAAAUGAUAAAAAAAAUCUUCAUUGAAACCGAACCGAACCGCUCAUCUAUGCCAAAGAAAAUCGAACCACAUAUACAUAAAUAAAAUCAAAUCAAAACCGAACGGCUUAUACAAAGUUACAGACAUAGAUGUUUCAAACAUUGAAAUUUGAAAGUCCAACAACACAUAGAAGUUUUAAAAUCCACCUAAGAUGAAUAAAAGUCCUACAGUCAUGCAAACUUCGUCAAGACAACUUGUCAUUUACGUUUUGAUUAUGUCAUUCUUCUCCUUUUCGUUCCUCUCAUUGAUUUUUGCCUCUAUACCCGCUUUGAAGUCUAAAAAAGUCUUAUUAUUAACACAUAUAUAUAUAUAUAUAUAUAUAUAUAUAUAUAUUUAGUUUUUAAAAUAAAGCAAUUCAGUUCGGUUUGAGAAUCGGUUCUUAACAUCUUAAACUGAACCGAACCGAAUUUUAUGUGGUUUUUUUGAAAUAGAAAUCGAAUCGAACCGAACCAUAUGCAUUCGAUUUCGGUUCGAUUAGUGAUUCGAUUCAGUUUUCAACUUCAUUUUGAACACCCCUAUUACAUAUACUAGAGAAUAACAAAUAUUUUAAUGACAUAUAUUACAUAUACUCAUCAUAAUUAUUUCUCAUUCAUGUUCUUGUAAACAUAAACAACUUUCAUAUAUAAUUAAUAUUAUUUCAAACAUAAUGUAUUAUUUACUACGUAAGAUAUGAAUAUUUAAAUAAAAUAAAUAAAUAAAUUGAUAUAAGAACAUUUCACUAAUAAAAUAUACAUUAUAUUAUUCAAUAUAUACUAUAAUUAUAUAAAAUAUAUGAAAAAGAAUGCAAAAUAAAAAAGGACAAUUUUUUAAUAAAAUCAUAAAAGCAAACUAAGGACAAUUUUUAUUAUUAAUAUUACUUUAAUAAAAUUUAAUCCAUAUUUUCAUAGAAUAUUUAAUAAAUGAAAAUCUUAAACGUGGUUCACUUUUCUUUUUAUUUUUAAUAUAUUAUUAAUAAUAAAAAGAGUAAAUUGGUCAUUUUUACUCUAUAUUUGUAUAAAAAUUAGUCAAUUUAUGAUAUUUUUGAAAAUUUUAAAAAAUUUAUUGCAAUUUUGUAACAUGGUAUACAAUUUGAGUACACUUAGAUAAAAAUUCAAAGAAAAAAAAAUAAUUUCACAUUAUAUAAGAUCAUGUCUAAACGGUAUAAAUUGAACCGCUUGUUAAAACCGAAUCAAACCACACCAUUUAUGUACAAAACAAAAACACAGUUUGUUGCUGUCUCAAAUAGUCCAAACCGAAUUUAAAUGGUUCGGUCUAUUUCAGCUUCAGUCUUCUGGAAUUCAAGGAAAUUUUGAUCUUCCAAGUCUUCAAUAUUUCAGAAGACGAUGAUCUCAAAGUUGAUAAUAACUUGCACGUCUUGAGAGCUCUAUAGAAGUUUGAAUCUUCAAUUCUUCAAAGCUUCAGUACUUCAGAGCUUCAUUUCUUCCUUAAACAAAAGAUCUCUCGAAUGAAUGACAAAGGUCUCUACUUAUAGAGAAAAUUUGUUGACUUUAUGUGGGCUUGGACCCAUUUGCUUGUUGAGUUGUUGAGCUUGGACUUGGGCUUGGGCCCAUUUUCUUAGUGGGCUUAGGCCCCUAUGUUUGGCCUGAUUUUUUAUCAGGGGCUUGAAUUGGGUUGGAAAACUUGACUACCCAAAUCAAUCAAAUUAUAAUCAUCACAACUUGGUGCGACGACGUGGUGUAAUUUCAUUGGUUGAAGUUUUUGCUCAACAAUUACAUUUAUACUUCUCCAUAAUACAUAUAUAUUAUGUGAUUUGUUACAUAUAUACUACCUCAUUAUGUAAUAUUUGUAACGACCCAACUUUUCUGGUAAGUCGAGGUCGUUAAUUUUUAACAAAAGACUUUGGUUGAUACAAAAUGAAACGUAAGUCAAUUUAAAAACAAUUUAUGUCAGGCCUGAUUUUCAAAUAUUCAAGAAAACUUAAAAUAACACUAUUUACAAAUAAAAGUUUGUAAAACUAAGUUUUAGUACAUCUUAAACCUCAAAGAAACCAUAAGCGGAAGCAAAAUGACACAUUUCCUAUGGCAAUCACGCUUCCUUCCUGCCCUCGCCGGUUUGCCACCUUUAUUUCCUUUGCCUGAAAAUUAAACAUAAGAAGGGUGAGUAUAACAAUACUCAGUAAGAGACCCUCUACUGGUCUCGUCAGGGGAAAAAAAUUGUUAAAGUUCUAUUGGGACACCCUGUACAGUCGCAGUCUUGUGAUCCCGUAGGAUACACAUUUCAGUCUAACGCCCCGAAGGACGUACAUAUCAGUCUAACGCCCGAGGGACGUGCAUAUCAGUCUAACGCCCGAGGGACGUACAUAUCAGUCUAGUGUUCUGCAGAAACACAUAUCAGUCAAAUGCUCCUGAAGGUGCAAAAUAAAUUGGUGAUCCGUGGGACACCUACAAGGUAAACAUCCCAAUACAAUCUAACAAUUUAUCCCCUCAUUCCAUUCAAUCCAUCUUUCAGUUACUUCAAAACAUAAAGUUCUUUCUCUCAACGUCCUAACAGUCAACUUAUCUCACUUUAGUCAUAUGUCUGUCAAUAAUAUACUAAUAUGUCAGUCAAUCAACUAUACAGUCAAUACACCCCUCAGUUCACCAGCACAAACCACAGUUCAGUAUAAUCCACAUCCAACCGAAAUAAAUUCACUAGUUUACAUCCAAAUCUUUAUACAACACAAUCUAUUAAUAUCAUCAUGUACACAUAAGCAUAAUUUCAGUCAUUCACAUGUAUACUUUCGGCAAUCCACAUCAAUUCACACAUCAAUGUAUAUAUAUAUGUUUCCAGUCAAAUACAACAUACACUAAACAUUUAGUCUGCAACCAAACAUGUACAUCUUAAUCAUCAUCCAUACAGUCCAACACAACUCAAAAACUUUAGGUGAGUCCAGUAGAAAGUCCCUUACCUCAAAGUUGGGGAAGCUUCUUAAUCAACUAACGUCCUCGAAACAAUCCUAAGCACAACAACACAAAACUUCAAUUACUUUCACGAUACAUAUCUCACUUACUUUCCUCAACGUAAGUUCCAACUCACCGAAAUAUUGGCGAACUGAACCCUCAACAAUUCACAAACUGAUUGUGAAUGUAAGGGAGUCUAACGAUACUCCCAACACCUCAACGCACGAAUGUCGAACUCGCAGCAAAAAUCCUAAAUGUGGGUCGGUUAGCGGUCGCGCGACAGUGCUGAAAACAGAGGAGAAAGGAAAGGAAUGGAUGGCGGCUGGCUUGGCUUCGACGGAGACAGGUGUUGCGCGGCGGAACUGGGCAGAGGUCACGCGGCGGCCGACGGUUACAACGGCAGUUGUGGAUCCGAGAAGAGAAGAAAACGACCGGAAAGAAAAAUAGGGGCGGCGGCGGCGGUUGCUGGGCUGCGACGCAGAUCUGGACCGGGCAGCGGCGGAAGAGCAACGGCGCGGUCCUGCUUUGCGAACGGAAAUGGAGACGGCAGAUCGGGCGUUCGGCUUCAGUAGGGAGACGCGACGGUGAGGCUGGGUCUGGAAGGAGCGGAGAGGAGAAGAAAAGAUGGAGAUGACCGGCGGCGGUUGCUGCGCUGCGAACGGGAGAAGGGGAAGGGCGCACGGGAGGAGAAGAGAAGAGAAAAGAAAAAAAGAAAAAGAAAAGAAAAAAAAGAAAAAAAAUAAUAUAUAUACCUUUCCUUCUUUUCUCUUUUUUCUUCGCUCUCUUCUUGGGGCAUUACAAUAUUGCUUAGAGAUAUAUACAAUCAGACAUAUAUAGUGACAUACAAUAAUCGAAAAUAUUUUUCAAUUCAAUCUGUUCUUUAUUUUUUUGUUUAUCUUAUAGUAAUAUUAUGUUGUUAGUCAUAUAAACAUUUAUAUCUUAAGUAUGUUGUAACAACAUUAGUAAACUAUAUAUUAUUAAUAAUUAAUAUUUAAAAUAUAUAUUUAUAUGUAAAUACUACUAAAACAGUAAAAACACAUUCUUAGUGUAUAUAUAAUAUGUAGUGAGAAUAUCAUACAUACAUAUUCUCACUUCGUAUAAUUAUAUACCUUCUAUUUGUCAUAUAUUUUUUAAAUGAACAAUAUAUACUAUAAUAUACUCGUAAAUUAUAAUAUGUUAUGAUGUGAUUUAAUAUAUAAAUACACCUUAUUUACAACAUAAAUAUUUAGUGACAUAUAGUUCUACAUAAUUUUAUAGUUGAAUUUCAAUAUAUAUCACUACAUAGACAGGUUGAUGUUAUCAAUAUACAUUUAUAUAAAUAUAAUAACACGUAUUUGUGACACAUAUAUAGUUCAGUUUUUUUCCUCACGUUUUGUAUCAUUUUCUUUAUAUUUUUCUAUAUUCGAUUAGUAUUUUAUUUGAUUUGUUACAUACAUACUAAUGCAUAUAUUCAAUAAUACAGUAGUUGAAGUUGACAUCAUCCCAUUGAAUGUCAAACGUUCAGUUGGUCAACAAAAAAUAUUAGAAUUCAUUCUAAAAUGAAGUUUUAAAUGUGGUUGUCAUAAACGAAAGAGAUGCAAGCUUCCUUAUUGAACUAAUUUUUCUUUCUUAUAUUAAACUUUUAGUAUGUUGAUUUAUACUUUAUUUGAAAUAUUCAUAUUUCAGUUUUUAAUUUAGUUAUUUUAUUUCUAUAUUUUUCAUAAAUUUUCAUCUACGGUACCAUACAAUUUUUUUCAAUUUAUUAUAUUUAAUAUACUAUUCAUUCAUACAUAACCACUCUUGUUUCAAUCACGAGUUAUUAUUUAUUAUGUAUAGAAUUUUUUAAAAAAUAAUGUAAAUUUUGAAACAUAUGUCAAAAGUAGGUGAAUGCAAAACUAUUGACAAAAAUAGGUGAGUUGAGGUGAAGUUUUGUACCCCUACACAAUUUUCAUGCAGUGGACCCUACAUAGUUUAUUUUUUACUUUAUAUAUAUAUUACAUUGGGCCAACAUUUUUUAUUUUCUCAUUAUUUAUAUACGUGGGUCCCACACACUCUACUUUUUUCAUUAGGUGUGUAUAUAUAAUAAUGACGUAUAUACUAGUACAUGAUACAUAUAUCUUAUGUGAUUUGUUACAUAUAUAUACUACUUCAUAUUUUCAAUAGUACAUAAAUGAUGUCAUCUUUGAUGUACUCAAUAUAUCAUAGUAUAUUUCAAAUACAAAAUAUAAAAUUCUUACUAACCUUAAAUGAACAAUAUAUAUUAUGAUAUAUCCUUAUACUGCUGUUUCAAACAUAACUUAUUAUUAUUAUUACAUAUAAAAUAAAUAUUUGAAAUAAAAUAAAUAAACCAGUUUAACAAAUUGAUUGCAUAACAUUUCAUUCAUAAAAAUAUAUAAUGUAUUGUUUCAUAUACACUAUUCAUAAGUCAAUUUAACAUUCAACCAUUUUUUUUCAUACAAUUUCCUGAAUCUUCAAUUCUUUCAUCAAAGUCCUACAUUACAAACAUAUUCAGUUGAUCUCAACAUUACAUAUUAGUGGUGUUCGCGUUCGGUUUGAAGCUAAAACCGCAUCGAACGCAAAAUGAUAAAAAAAAUCUUCAUUGAAACCGAACCGAACCGCUCAUCUAUGCCAAACCGAAUGAAACCGAACCACAUAUACAUAAAUAAAAUCAAAUCAAAACCGAACGGCUUAUACAAAGUUAUAAACAUAGAAAUUUCAAAUUACAGACAUAGAUGUUUCAAACAUUGAAAUUUGAAAGUCCAACAACACAUAGAAGUUUUAAAAUCCCCCUAAGAUGAAUAAAAGUCCUACAGUCAUGCAAACUUCGUCAAGACAACUUGUCAUUUACGUUUUGAUUAUGUCAUUCUUCUCCUUUUCGUUCCUCUCAUUGAUUUUUGCCUCUAUACCCGCUUUGAAGUCUAAAAAAGUCUUAUUAUUAACACACACAUAUAUAUAUAUAUAUAUAUAUAUAUAUUUAGUUUUUAAAAUAAAGCAAUUCAGUUCGGUUUGAGAAUCGGUUCUUAACAUCUUAAACUGAACCGAACCGAAUUUUAUGUGGUUUUUUUGAAAUAGAAAUCGAAUCGAACCGAACCAUAUGCAUUCGAUUUCGGUUCGAUUAGUGAUUCGAUUCAGUUUUCAACUUCAUUUUGAACACCCCUAUUACAUUACUAGAGAAUAACAAAUUUUUAAUGACAUAUAUUACAUAUACUCAUCAUAAUUAUUUCUCAUUCAUGUUCUUGUAAACAUAAACAACUUUCAUGUAUAAUUAAUAUUAUUUCAAACAUAAUGUAUUAUUUACUAUGUAAGAUAUGAAUAUUUAAAUAAAAUAAAUAAAUAAAUUGAUAUAAGAACAUUUCACUAAUAAAAUAUACAUUAUAUUAUUCAAUAUAUACUAUAAUUAUAUAAAAUAUAUGAAAAAGAAUGCAGAAUAAAAAAGGACAAUUUUUUAAUAAAAUCAUAAAAAGCAAACUAAGGACAAUUUUUAUUAUUAAUAUGUAACGACCCAACUUUUCUAAGUAAGUCGAGGUCGUUAUUAUUUUUACAAAUAAAAGACUUUGAUUAAUAUAAAAAAAACGUAAGCAAUUUAAAAAAAAACAUCUUCAAGUCAGGCCUGAUUUUUAAACAUUCAAGAAAACAUAAAAUAAUACUAUUUACAACAAACGUUUGUAAACUAAAUUUCAAUUCAUUUUAAACCUCACAAGAACCCAUAAGUGGAAGCAAAAACACGUUUCCUAUGCAUCACGCUUCCUUCCUGCCCUCGCCUGUUUGUCGCCUUUAUUACCUUUGCCUGAAAAUUAAACAUAUAUAAGAAGGGUGGGUAUUUAAAUACUCAGUAAGAGACCCUCUACUGGUUUCGUCAGGGGAAAAUAAAUUGUUAAAGUUCUAUUGGGACACCCUGUACAGUCGCAGUCUUGUGAUCCGUAGGAUACACAUCUCAGUCUAAUGCCCCGAGGGACGUACAUAUCAGUCUAACGCCCCAAGGACAUACAUAUCUAGUCUAGUGUUCUGCAGAAACACAUAUCAGUCAAAUGCUCCGAAGGUGCACAAUAAAUUGGUGAUCCCGUGGGACACCUACAAGGUAAACAUCCCAAUACAAUCUAACAAUUUAUCCCCUCAUUCCAUUCAACCCAUCUUUCAGUUACUUCAAGUCACAAAGUUCUUUCUUUCAACAUCCUAACAGUCAACUUAUUUUACUACAGUCAUAUGUCUGUCAAUAAUAUGCUAAUACCGGCGAGGCUGUUCGUGACUAAGGCGUGCGAUUUACCUCGCGAACGGAGAUAAAGACGGCGGCUGGGUUGGCUUCGACGGAGACAGGUGUUGCGCGACAAAACUGGGCAGAGGCGGAAGAGCAAUGGCAGUUACAGGUGGAUGGGCGCGGCGGUUCGAUCCGAAGGAGAAAGAAAACGACCGGAAAGAAAAUAAGGGCGGCGGUUUCUGGGCUACGACGCAGAUCUGGAUCAGACAGUUACGCCGCGGCUGCUGCAAGGCUGCUUCGCGAACGGAGAUGGAGAACGGAGAAGAUGGAUGGGGUCGGGUCGCAAGAAGAUGGGAGAAAAGAAAAGAAAAAGAAAAAGAAGAAAAGAAGAAAAAAAAAUAAAGAAAUUUUUUAAUAUUAAAAUAAAAAUAAUAUAUAUAUAUAUAUAUAAAAAUAUAUAUAUAUAUUUACCUUUUGGGCAUUACAUUCUUCCCUCCUUAAGAAACUUUCGUCCUCGAAAGUUUAAUCCUGAAAUAACUCUGGAUAACGAGUCCUCAUUCUUCCUCUCGCUCCCAUGUCGCCUCUUCAAUUCGAUGAUUCCGCCACAAAACCUUUACUAAUGGAAUGCUUCUAUUACGAAGCAUCUUUACCUCUCUAGCCAGAAUCUCCACAGGUUGUUCUACAUAGCUCAAAUGCUCAUCAAUCUCCAAGGGUUCAUAGUCCACUACAUGAGAUGUAUCGGCCACAUACUUCCUCAACAUCGAACAUGGAAAACAUUAUGAACUGCAGAGAGUGAUGGUGGUAAUGCCAAGCGAUACGCCACAACACCAACCCUCUCUAAGAUCUCAAAUGGUCCAACAAAACGAGGACUUAACUUCCCUUUCUUCUCAAAACGCAUAACACCCUUCAUAGGUGCUACCUUCAAGAAUACCUUUUCUCCCACAUCGAACUUAAGGUCUUUUCGCCGUACAUCUGCAUAACUCUUUGUCUACUCUGCGCUGUUUGCAUACGCGUCUAAUCUUUGAAUAGCCUCAUUAGUAGACCGAACUAAUUCAGGUCCCAUCAACCUAUGUUCACCAACCUCACUCCAACAAACAGGGGUUCUACAACAUUUGCAUACAAAGCCUCAAAUGGUGCCAUACCGAUGGUAGCCUGGAAACUGUUGUUAUAAGCAAACUCCAUCAAAUGUAGAUGAGAGUCCCAACUACCUGGAAACUCUAUAACACAAGCUCGUAGCAUAUCCUCUAAAACUUGGUUCAAACGUUCAGUUUGACCAUCAGUCUGUGGAUGAAAGGCUGUACUGAAAUCCAAUCUCGUACCCAUAGCAGUCUGAAGUCCCUUCCAAAACUUGGAAGUAAACCGUGCAUCCCUAUCAGAAACAAUCGAUACAGGCACUCCAUGCAGUCUCACAAUCUCAGUUAAAUACAACUCUGCCCACUUACUAGCAGUAUAAGUGGAUUUUCCUGGUACAAAAUGUGCCGAUUUCGUAAGCCUGUCUAUGACAACCAAAAUCACUGUGAAACCCUUCAGGGUCUUAGGCAGCCCUGAAAUAAAAUCCAUCGACACAUUCUCCCACUUCCACUCUGGCACACUUAAGGUUGUAACAAACCUGCUGGUUUCUGUCUAGGUGCCUUAACUUGCUGACAUACUAGACACUUACUAACAAAUUCCGCCACUUCCCUUUUCAUAUUCCGCCACCAAUAAAAUCGUUUUAGAUCCUGAUACAUUUUCGUGCUACCAGGAUGCAUGGAAAAUGGGAAUUAUGGGCUUCAUCUAGUAAGUCAAUCUUAACUGUACUGUUCGCUGGCACACAUAAACGUCUCUCAAACAUCAACCCACCAUCAGAGGAUAUGGAGAACUCAUCAGUCUGCCCUGUUUCAACAAGGCGACGUCUCUCCAUCAAAUAAGGAUCAUUACUCUGAGCAUCAACAAUCUUCUGCCUCAGAGUCGGUUGCACCGUUAAUUGAGCUAGCUGUGAGGUGACUCUCCCCACAGACACUGCAAUCUCAGCUCUCUCCAAGUCUCGAUGCAAUGGUACCUGUCUAGUAAUGAGUGCUGCCGAAUGUGAUACUUUUCUACUAAGAGCAUCAGCCACCACAUUCGCCUUACCAGGAUGGUACAAUAUCUCACAGUCAUAAUCUUUUACCAACUCGAGCCACCUUCGCUGUCUCAUAUUCAACUCCUUCUGAGUGAAGAAGUACUUUAGGCUCUUAUGGUCAGUAAAGAUUUGUAUCUUUUCACCGUACAAGUAAUGUCUCCAUAUCUUCAAUGCAAAAACCACUGCUGCCAACUCCAAAUCAUGUGUGGGGUAGUUCUGCUCGUGACUCUUCAACUGACGAGAGGCAUAAGCAACCACCUUACCUUUCUGCAUCAAAACACAACCCAGUCCUUUCUUGGAAGCAUCACUGUAAAUCACAAAACUUCCAGAUCCAUCUGGUACAGUAAGGACCGGUGCAGUAACUAACCUUUGCUUAAGGUUCUGAAAACUAUCCUCACAAGCUGGACUCCAAACAAACGGAGUUCCCUUCCUUGUCAACUGAGUCAAGGAGUAGCCAAACGUGAAAAAUCCUCCACAAACCUCCGGUAGUACCCUGCUAAACCCAGAAAACUACGAACCUCACUAACUGUAGAGGGUCGAGACCAACUGGUAACCGCUUCUAUCUUUGCAGGGUCUACUGAAACUCCCUCACUGGAAACCACAUGACCAAGAAAAGCCACCUGCUUCAACCAAAAUUCGCACUUAGAGAACUUAGCAUACAGUUUAUUGACUCGAAGAGUCUCUAACACCUUAUGUAAGUGUUCCUCAUGUUCGGCUUCAGUCUUGGAAUAAACCAAAAUAUCAUCAAUGAAGACUAUCACAAAAGUGUCCAAGAAAUCCUUAAACACCCUGUUCAUCAAAUCCAUAAAUACAGCAGGUGCAUUAGUCAAACCAAAAGACAUUACUAUGAAUUCAUAAUGUCCAUACCUCGAACGAAAAGCAGUCUUAGGAAUAUCACGGUCUCUAAUCCUCAACUGGUGAUAACCUGACCGUAAGUCAAUCUUAGAGAACACCGUGGCUCCCUGUAACUGAUCGAACAAAUCAUCGAUUCUGGGUAAAGGAUAUCUGUUCUUGACUGUUACUUUAUUCAACUCUCUAUAGUCAAUGCAAAGACGCAUCGACCCAUCCUUCUUCUUCACAAACAAUACUGGUGCACCCCAAGGUGACACACUAGGUCGAAUAAAGCCUUUGUCAAGCAAUUCCUGUAACUGUACCUUCAGUUCUUUCAACUCAGCAGGAGCCAUCCUAUAAGGGGCUCUAGAAAUAGGAGUAGUGUUUGGCUCCAACUCAAUGGCAAAAUCAACCUCUCUAUGUGGCGGUAGUCCUGGAAGAUCUUUUGGAAAUACAUCUGGGUAUUCUCUUACCACAGGUUCUGAAGUUAAAGAAGUCUCACCUUCCCUAGUAUCCACCACACUUGCCAAAAUACUCCAAGUACCCUGGUUGAGUAGUUUACUAGCUUUCAUAGCUGAGAUUACUUUAGGCAGUACUACUGUUCCUACCCCUUGAAUUUAAAGCUAGAUGCAGUAGGGGGACUGAACACAACUUCCUUACGAGAACAAUCAAUACUAGCAUGAUUAGUAGCUAGCCAAUCCAUACCUAAAUUACAUCAAAGUCACGCAUAUCUAAUACCAACAAGGUUACGUCCAGCACACGACCAGCUAUCUCAAUUUCACAUGCUUUAAUCUUUUCCUUAGACAACAUAAUUUCUCCAGACGGUGUAGACACUGACAAAACAUAGUCUAAGGGUUCCACCUCUAAGCAUGCAUGCGUCACAAAAAGCGAUGAAAUAAAUGAAUGAGAAGAUCCCGAGUCAAACAAGGUCAAGGCAAAAUGCCCUAACACUGGUAAUGUACCUGUCACUACUGUGCCGGCCUUCUCUGCCUCUGAUCUAUUAGUGGCAAAGAUUGUACCCCGCUGUGGAGGUCUCUCUCCCUGACUGCUCGAUCCAGCCCCAGUAGAUCUCAAGGGACACCUAUCAGCCAUGUGUCCCUCUUGCUUGCACUUAUAACAGACUCUCGUUCCCAUCAAACAACGACCCAGGUGGCGUUUCCCACACGUAUUACAUACUGGCCUCUCUGAGUAGUGUCUCCUGCACCGCCAGAACUCUGCUGGAAACUGCGAAAAGGAAUCGCCUGGUCUCAAGUUCCUCUGAGGAACUCCUACAGUUCUCUGCUCUACUUUUCUCUUUUGACCCGACGACGAUCCCUUAUAAAGCUCCUUGGCUGUAUUUCAUCCUUCCCAACUCAUAUCCACUGCCAGACGCAGUGCUUCAGCUUGGGUAGUGGGCUUUAGUGCUCGCACAAACCCCUAAUUUCAUCUCUCAAUCCCUUGACGAACCUAUCAGCUCUAGCCUGCUCAUUACUAACAAGCUCAGGGGCAAAACGUGACAGCAUAUCAAACUCCUGGUCGUACUCCUCGACUGUCAUAUAUCCUUGCUUCAACUCCAAGAAUUCCUGGCUUUUGGCGUCUCUAAGGUUAGCCGAGAAAAACUUGGUAUAGAAGCAGUCCUUAAACUGAUCCCAGGUAAUUUGCCUCACAUCUCCACCUAGCAUGCGCAUUGUAGUCCUCCACCAGAUAAUGCCUCUGUCCCUCAGUAGAAAAGCAGCACACUGAACUCUGUGCUCCUCGACAUCUCAUGUAAUUAAAUAUGGUUUCCACAGAGGACAACCACAUUUCAGCUUUAGUAGGAUCCUCCAGUGACCCAUCAAACGUCUGAGGGUCAUACUUCCGAAAGUCCCUCAAAUGUUUCGCCUCAGCAGAAAGUUGGUUGGUAAUUCUUGUGCAGGAGGGGCUGCUGGUGCGGGAACUACAGGUGCAGUGGAACCGCAGGUGCCUGCUGGUUUUGAGCUAUAGCUGUCAUAAGUUCUGUAAACCUCUGCUCCAUGUGAGCAGACAGUGCAUCAAACUCAACGUGAGUCACGGGUGCAGCAGGAAUUCGCUGUUCAGCUUGACCCUCAGUAGGCUGAUUACGACCUGCUCCUCUACCUCGGCCUCCUACUCCUCUACCUCGGCCUCUACGACCUCCUCUACGUACCUUCCCUUGGCGGCAUAAUUCCUAUUAUCCACCAACAACACUCUUUAACAAAAUCUUAAUCAUAACAUAAGCAAGUCUUUAUCGUCAUGCAAUCUAGUUUAAUUUAGGCAAGGUCAUGCAAAUAAACCAUACAUAUAAGCAUCAAGCAUACCUGACGAGAGACGAAGGGUCGCGUUAGCCAUAGGAAACAAAAACAUAGACUUACAUCGUAAGUCAGUCUACAGAACCUAAAACUUAGGCUCUGAUACCAACUGUAACGACCCAACUUUUCUAAGUAAGUCGAGGUCGUUAUUAGUUUUUUACAAAUAAAAGACUUUGAUUAAUAUAAAACAAAACGUAAGCAAUUUAAAAAAAACAUCUUCAAGUCAGGCCUGAUUUUUAAACAUUCAAGAAAACAUAAAAUAAUACUAUUUACAACAAACGUUUGUAAACUAAAUUUCAAUUCAUUUUAAACCUCACAAGAACAUAAGGGAAGCAAAAACACGUUUCCUAUGGCAUCACGCUUCCUUCCUCCCCUCGCCUGUUUGCCGCCUUUAUUACCUUUGCCUGAAAAUUAAACAUAAGAAGGGUGAGUAUUUAAAUACUCAGUAAGAGACCCUCUACUGGUCUCGUCAGGGGAAAAUAAAUUGUUAAAGUUCUAUUGGGACACCCUGUACAGUCGCAGUCUUGUGAUCCCGUAGGAUACACAUCUCAGUCUAACGCCGAGGGACGUACAUAUCAGUCUAGUGUUCUGUAGAAACACAUAUCAGUCAAAUGCUCCCGAAGGUGCACAAUAAAUUGGUGAUCCCGUGGGACACCUACCAGGUAAACAUCCCAAUACAAUCUAACAAUUUUCCCCUCAUUCUAUUCAACCCAUCUUUCAGUUACUUCAAGUCACAAAGUUCUUUCUUUCAACAUCCUAACAGUCAACUUAUUUUACUACAGUCAUAUGUCUGUCAAUAAUAUGCUAAUACAUCAGUCAAUCCACUAUACAGUCAAUGCACCCCUUAGUUCACCAGCACACAGUCAUACUUUAGCGUAAUCAUACACCCAAUCUAAACGAGAAUCUCAUACAAACACAAUCUACAAUCUCCGUCCUGUCCACAUACCCACAUUUAUACAUAGAUUCCAUGACAAUCACGACAUACAUUCAACGUCAAGUCUACUUCAAUUCAUAUAUAUUUUCAGUCAACCCACAGUAUACAUUCAACACACAUACAGUUCACAAUCACAGUUCACAAUCACAAUUGAGUCCAGUAGAAAAUCCUUACCUCGAUUUUAUGUAAAAUUUCUUGGUCGAACUAAUUCCAACAAACAAACCCCAAAGAGUAAAGAAUCGAAUUCCAACAAAGCUUAAGGCGUAACUCAAGGACACUAACUCCAAAUAACCGAUGUCGCCUUCAAGAACAAACAUCAAUUCAACCAAUUAAACAAACAUCACAUCUUAAUGUAUUUACAAAUGUAAAACCUUAUUACCCAACAAUCUCAUCCUUACCAAUAACUUAUAACAAGACUUUGACAAUCGACGUUAAAAUAGAAGUUGCCGCAGCAGGAUCUACACAAAAGAAAUCGUGCAAACAAAUCUGCACGCGAAUCGGUCCACAAUUCGUAAAUGGACAGCGGGUAUCGACGAAGGCAGAAUGGUUCGGACGUUCAACAGCAGUUACGCGCAGACGGGAGUAGCCCGGUAACGUAGCCGAACUCGUGCGAUGCGGCGUGACCUGCGUCGGCGAGGCUGUUUGUGACUGAGGCGUGCGAUUUGCCUCGCGAACGGAGAUAGAGACGGCGGCUGGAUUGGCUUAGACGGAGACAGGUGUUGCGCGGCAAAACUGGGCAGAGGCGGAAGAGCAACGACAGUUACAGGUGGAUGGGCGUGGCGGUUUCGAUCCGAAGGAGAAAGAAAACGACCGGAAAGAAAAUAAGGGCGGCGGUUUCUGGGCUGCGACGCAGAUCUGGAUCAGACAGUUACGCGGCGGCUGCUGCAAGGCUGCUUCGCGAACGGAGAUGGAGAACGGAGUGGAGAAGAUGGAUACGGGUCGCGGUCGCACGGGGAAGAAGAUGGGAGAAAAGAAAAGAAAAAGAAAAGAAGAAAAGAAGAGAAAAAAAAUAAAGAAAUUUUUUAAUAUUAAAAUAAAAGUAAUAUAUAUAUAUAUAUAUAUAUAUUAUAUAUAUAUUAUAUAUAUAUUUACCUUUUCUUUGGGCAUUACAUAAUAUUACUUUAAUAGAAUUUAAUCCAUAUUUUCAUAGAAUAUUUAAUAAAUGAAAAUCUUAAACGUGGUUCACUUUUCUUUUUAUUUUUAAUAUAUUAUUAAUAAUAAAAAGAGUAAAUUGGUCAUUUUUACUCUAUAUUUGUAUAAAAUAUUAGUCAAUUUAUGAUAUUUUUGAAAAUUUUAAAAAAUUUAUUGCAAUUAAUUUGUAACAUGGUAUACAAUUUGAGUACACUUAGAUAAAAAUUCAAAGAAAAAAAAAUAAUUUCACAUUAUAUAAGAUCAAGUCUAAACGGUAUAAAUUGAACCGCUUGUUAAAACCGAAUCAAACCACACCAUUUAUGUACAAACAAAAAACACAGUUUGUUGCUGUCUCAAAUAGUCCAAACCGAAUUUAAAUGGUUCGGUCUAUUUCAGCUUCAGUCUUCUGGAAUUCAAGGAAAUUUUGAUCUUCCAAGUCUUCAAUAUUUCAGAAGACGAUGAUCUCGAAGUUGAUAAAAACUUGCACGUCUUGAGAGCUCUAUAGAAGUUUGAAUCUUCAAUUCUUCAAAGCUUCAGUACUUCAGAGCUUCAUUUCUUCCUUCAACAAAAGAUCUCUCGAAUGAAUGACAAAGGUCUACUUAUAGAGAAAAUUUGUGGACUUUAUGUGGGCUUUGGACCCAUUUUCUUGUUGAGUUGUUGAGCUUGGACUUGGGCUUGGGCCCAUUUUCUUAGUGGGCUUAGGCCCCUUUGUUUGGCCUGAUUUUUUAUCAGGGGCUUGAAUUGGGUUGGAAAACUUGACUACCCAAUCCAAUCAAAUUAUAAUCAUCACAACUUGGGUGCGACGACGUGGUGUAAUUUCAUUGGUUGAAAUUUCUUGCUCAACAAUUACAUUUAUACUACUCCAUAAUACAUAUAUAUUAUGUGAUUUGUUUACAUAUAUACUACCUCAUUAUGUAAUAUUGCUUAGAGAUAUAUACAAUCAGACAUAUAUAGUGACAUACAGUAAUCGAAAAUAUUUUUCAAUUCAAUCUGUUCUUUAUUUUUUUGUUUAUCUUAUAGUAAUAUUAUGUUGUUAGUCAUAUAAACAUUUAUAUCUUAAGUAUGUUGUAACAACAUGUAGUAAACUAUAUAUUCAUUUAUAAUUAAUAUUUUAAAAUAUAUAUUUAUAUAGUAAAUACUACUAAAACAGUAAAAUACACAUUCUUAGUGUAUAUAUAUAUAUGCAGUGAGAAUAUCAUACAUACAUAUUCUCACUUCGUAUAAUUAUAUACCUUCUAUUUGUCAUAUAUUUUUUAAAUGAACAAUAUAUACUAUAAUAUACUCGUAAAUUAUAAUAUGUUUAUGAUGUGAUUUAAUAUAUAGAUACACCUUAUUUACAACAUAAAUAUUUAGUGACAUAUAGUUCUACAUAAUUUAUAGUUGAAUUUCAAUAUAUAUCUGUAACGACCCAACUUUUAUAGGUAAGUCGAGGUCAUUAAUUUUUAACAAAAGACUUUGGUUGAUACAAAAUGAAACGUAAGUCAAUUUAAAAACAAUUUAUGUAAGGCCUGAUUUUCAAAUAUUCAAGAAAACUUAAAAAUAACACUAUUUACAAAUAAAAGUUUGUAAACUAAGUUUUAGUACAUCUUAAACCUCAAAAGAAACCAUAAGCGGAAGCAAAAUGACACAUUUCCUAUGGCAAUCACGCUUCCUUCCUGCCCCUCGCCGGUUUGCCACCUUUAUUUCCUUUGCCUGAAAAUUAAACAUAAGAAGGGUGAGUAUAACAAUACUCAGUAAGAGACCCUCUACUGGUCUCGUCAGGGGAAAAUAAAUUGUUAAAGUUCUAUUGGGACACCCUGUACAGUCGCAGUCUUGUGAUCCCGUAGGAUACACAUCUCAGUCUAACGCCCCGAGGAACGUACAUAUCAGUCUAACGCCCGAGGGACGUACAUAUCAGUCUAGUGUUCUGCAGAAACACAUAUCAGUCAAAUGCUCCCGAAGGUGCAAAAUAAAUUGGUGAUCCGUGGGACACCUACAAGGUAAACAUCCCAAUACAAUCUAACAAUUUAUCCCUCAUUCCAUUCAAUCCAUCUUUCAGUUACUUCAAAACAUAAAGUUCUUUCUCUCAACGUCCUAACAGUCAACUUAACUCACUUUAGUCAUAUGUCUGUCAAUAAUAUACUAAUACGUCAGUCAAUCAAACUAUACAGUCAAUACACCCCUCAGUUCACCAGCACAAACCACAGUUCAGUAUAAUCCACAUCCAACCGAAACAAAUUCACUAGUUCACAUCCAAAUCUUUAUACAACACAAUCUAUUAAUAUCAUCAUGUACACAUAAGCAUAAUUUCAGUCAUUCACAUGUAUACUUUCGGCAAUCCACAUCAAUUCACACAACAAUGUAUAUAUAUAUGUUUCCAGUCAAAUACAACAUACACUAAACAUUUAGUCUGCAACCAAACAUGUACAUCUUAAUCAUCAUCCAUACAGUCCAACACAACUCAAAAACUUUAGGUGAGUCCAGUAGAAAGUCCCUUACCUCAAAGUUGGGGAAGCUCCUUAAUCAACUAACGUCCUCGAAACAAUCCUAAGCACAACAACACAAAAUUCAAUUACUUUCACGAUACAUAUCUCACUUACUUUCCUCAACGUAAGUUCCAACUCACCGAUAUAUUGGCAAACUGAACCCUCAACAAUUCACAAAUUGGUUGUGAAUUUAAGUGAUCCAAAGUUACCUUUCACACCUUCAAGAAUAAUUUAUCAAAUUAGUCAAUUAACCCAUCCGUAACGUUUGAACACCUUGAAAACAUCACAACCCAUACUUAAAUUGUUUUGUAAACGACUACAAUUUCAUAACUUCAAUCUUACCAACAAAACUUCGACAGAGACAGAGACGAUUAGGAUGGGGCACGGCGACGCAGAUCUGGGUAACGGCGCAGAGACAGAGGUCGCGCGGCGGUGCUGGGCAGAGGUCACGCGGCGGCUGACGGUUGCAGCGGCAGUUUUUGGAUCGAAGAGAAAAAAAGGGUGGCGGUUGGGUUCGACUUCGGUGAACGGAGACAGAAACAGACGAAACCGGUGGACGGCUCGAUCUAGCGGUGCAGAUCUGGACAGAGGGUCACACGGCGGUGGGCGGAAGGUCACGCGGCGGCCUUGCUUCGCAACAGAGACGGCGGCCGACGGUUGCAGCGGCGGUUUGGCUUGGCCUGACCGUCGACGUCGAACGAAAGAGGAAGAAAGAAAAGAAGGGGUGGUUGGACUGCGGCUGCGCACGAACGGAAAGAGAAUAGAUGGGGCGGCGGUUGCUGCGAACGGGAAGGAGAACGCACGGGGAGGAAGGAGAAGAGAGAAAAGAAAAGAAAAAGAAAAGAAAAGAAAUAUAUAUAUAUAUAUAUAUAUAAAUUAAAAAAAAUGUAUAUAUAUAUAUAUUUUUUACCUUUGGGACUUUACAUUCUUCCCCCCUUAAGAAACUUUCGUCCUCGAAAGUUCUAAUCCUGAAAUAACUCUGGAUAACGAGUCCUCAUCUCUUCUUCUCGCUCCCAUGUCGCUUCUUCAAUUCGAUGAUUCUGCCACAAAACUUUACUAAUGGAAUGCUUCUAUUACGAAGCAUCUUUACCUCUCUAGCCAGAAUCUCCACAGGUUGUUCUACAUAGCUCAAAUGCUCAUCAAUCUCCAAGGGUUCAUAGUCUACUACAUGAGAUGUAUCCACACAUACUUCCUCAACAUCGAAACAUGGAAAAUAUUAUGAACUGCAGAGAGAGAUGGUGGUAAUGCCAAGCGAUACGCCACAACACCAACCCUCUCUAAGAUCUCAAAUGGUCCAACAAAACGAGGACUUAACUUUCCUUUCUUCUCAAAACGCAUAACACCCUUCAUAGGUGCUACCUUCAAGAAUACCUUUUCUCCCACAUCGAACUUAAGGUCUUUUCGCUGUACAUCCGCAUAACUCUUCUGUCGACUCUGCGCUGUUUGCAUAAGUGCUCUAAUAUUUUGAAUAGCCUCAUUAGUAGACCGAACUAAUUCAGGUCCCAUCAAUCUAUGUUCACCAACCUCACUCCAACAAACAGGGGUUCUACAACAUUUGCCAUACAAAGCCUCAAAUGGUGCCAUACCGAUGGUAGCCUGAAAACUGUUGUUAUAAGCAAACUCCAUCAAAUGUAGAUGAAAGUCCCAACUACCUAGAAACUCUAUAACACAAGCUCGUAGCAUAUCCUCUAAAACUUGGUUCAAACGUUCAGUUUGACCAUCAGUCUGUGGAUGAAAAGCUGUACUGAAAUCCAACCUCGUACCCAUAGCAGUCUGAAGUCCCUUCCAAAACUUGGAAGUAAACCGUGCAUCCCUAUCAGAAACAAUCGAUACAGGCACUCCAUGCAGUCUCACAAUCUCAGUUAAAUACAACUCUGCCCACUUACUAGCAGUAUAAGUGGAUUUCCCUGGUACAAAAUGUGCCGAUUUCGUAAGUCUGUCUAUGACAACCAAAAUCACUGUGAAACCCUUCAGGGUCUUAGGCAGCCCUGAAAUAAAAUCCAUCGACACAUUCUCCCACUUCCACUCUGGCACACUUAAGGGUUGUAACAAACCUGCUGGUUUCUGUCUAGGUGCCUUAACUUGCUGACAUACUAGACACUAACUAACAAAUUCCGCCACUUCCUUUUCAUAUUCCGCCACCAAUAAAAUCGUUUUAGAUCCUGAUACAUUUUCGUGCUACCAGGAUGCAUUGGAAAUGGGGAAUUAUGGGCUUCAUCUAGUAAGUCAAUCUUAACUGUACUGUUCGCUGGCACACACAAACGUCUUUCAAACAUCAACCCACCAUCAGAGGAUAUGGAGAACUCAUCAGUCUGCCCUGUUUCAACAAGGCGACAUCUCUCCAUCAAAUAAGGAUGACUACUCUGAGCAUCAACAAUCUUCUGCCUUAGAGUCGGUUGCACCGUUAAUUGAGCCAACUGUGAGGUGACUCUCCCCACAGACACUGCAAUCUCAGCUCUCUCCAAGUCUCGAUGCAAUGGUACCUGUCUAGUAAUGAGUGCUGCCGAAUGUGAUACUUUUCUACUAAGAGCAUCAGCCACCACAUUCGCCUUACCAGGAUGGUACAAUAUCUCACAGUCAUAAUCUUUUACCAACUCGAGCCACCUUCGUUGUCUCAUAUUCAACUCCUUCUAAGUGAAGAAGUACUUUAGGCUCUUAUGGUCAGUAAAGAUUUGUAUCUUUUCACCGUACAAGUAAUGUCUCCAUAUCUUCAAUGCAAAAACCACUGCUGCCAACUCCAAAUCAUGUAUGGGGUAGUUCUGCUCGUGACUCUUCAACUGACGAGAGGCAUAAGCAACCACCUUACCUUUCUGCAUCAUAACACAACCCAGUCCUUUCUUGGAAGCAUCACUGUAAAUCACAAAACUUCCAGAUCCAUCUGGUACAGUAAGGACCGGUGCAGUAACUAACCUUUGCUUUAAGUUCUGAAAACUGUCCUCGCAAGCUGGACUCCAAACAAACGGAGUUCCCUUCCUUGUCAACUGAGUCAAAGGAGUAGCCAAACAUGAAAAAUCCUCCACAAACCUCCGGUAGUACCCUGCUAAACCCAGAAAACUACGAACCUCACCAACUGUAGAGGGUCGAGACCAACUGGUAACCGCUUCUAUCUUUGCAGGGUCUACUGAAACUCCCUCACUGGAAACCACAUGACCAAGAAAAGUGUCUAAGAAAUCCUUAAACACCCUGUUCAUCAAAUCCAUAAAUACAGCAGGUGCAUUAGUCAAACCAAAAGACAUUACUAUGAAUUCAUAAUGUCCAUACCUCGAACGAAAAGCAGUCUUAGGAAUAUCACGGUCUCUAAUCCUCAACUGGUGAUAACCUGACCAUAAUUCAAUCUUAGAGAACACUGUGGCUCCCUGUAACUGAUCGAACAAAUCAUCGAUUCUGGGUAAAGGAUAUCUGUUCUUGACUGUUACUUUAUUCAACUCUCUAUAGUCAAUGCAAAGACGCAUCGACCCAUCCUUCUUCUUCACAAACAAUACUGGUGCACACCAAGAUGACACACUAGGUCGAAUAAAGCCUUUGUCAAGCAAUUCCUGUAACUGUACCUUCAAUUCUUUCAACUCAGCAGGAGCCAUCCUAUAAGGGGCUCUAGAAAUAGGAGUAGUGUUUGGCUCCAACUCAAUGGCAAAAUCAACCUCUCUAUGUGGCGGUAGUCCUGGAAGAUCUUUUGGAAACACAUCUGGGUAUUCUCUUACCACAGGUUCUGAAGUUAAAGAAGUCUCACCUUCCCUAGUAUCCACCACACUUGCCAAAAUACUCCAAGUACCCUGGUUGAGUAGUUUACUAGCUUUCAUAGCUGAGAUUACUUUAGGCAGUACUACUGUUCCUACCCCCUUGAAUUUAAAGCUAGAUGCAGUAGGGGGACUGAACACAACUUCCUUACGAGAACAAUCAAUACUAGCAUGAUUAGUAGCUAGCCAAUCCAUACCUAAAAUUACAUCAAAGUCACACAUAUCUAAUACCAACAAGGUUACGUCCAGCACACGACCAGCUAUCUCAAUUUCACAUGCUUUAAUCUUUUCCUUAGACAACAUAAUUUCUCCAGACGGUGUAGACACUGACAAAACAUAGUCUAAGGGUUCCAUCUAAGCAUGCAUGCAUCACAAAAAGCGAUGAAAUAAAUGAAUGAGAAGAUCCCGAGUCAAACAAGGUCAAGGCAAAAUGCCCUAACACUGGUAAUGUACCUGUCACUAUUGUGCCGACCUUCUCUGCCUCUGAUCUAUUAGUGGCAAAGAUUGUACCACGCUGUGGAGGUCUCUCUCCCUGACUGCUCGAUCCAGCCCAGUAGAUCUCAAGGGACACCUAUCAGCCAUGUGUCCCUCUUGCUUGCACUUAUAACAGACUCUCGUUCCAUCAAACAACGACCCAGGUGGCGUUUCCCACAUGUAUUACAUACUGGCCUCUCUCGAGUAGUGUCUCCUGCACCGCCAGAACUCUGCUGGAAACUGCGAAAAGGAUCGCCUGGUCUCAAGUUCCUCUGAGGAACUCCUACAGUUCUCUACUCUACUUUUCUCUUUUGACCCGACGACGAUCCCUUAUCAAAGCUCCUUGGCUGUAUUUCAUCAUUCCCAAUGCUCAUAUCCACUGUCAGACGCAGUGCUUCAGCUUGGGUAGUGGGCUUUAGUGCUCGCACAAAGCCCCUAAUUUCAUCUCUCAAUCCCUUGACGAACCUAUCAGCUCUAGCCUGCUCAUUACUAACAAGCUCAGGGGCAAAACGUGACAGCAUAUCAAACUCCUGGUCGUACUCCUCGACUGUCAUAUAUCCUUGCUUCAACUCCAAGAAUUCCUGGCUUUUGGCGUCUCUAAGGUUAGCCGAGAAAAACUUGGUAUAGAACAGUCCUUAAACUGAUCCCAGGUAAUUUGCCUCAAUCUCCACCUAGCAUGCGCAUUGUAGUCCCCACCAGAUAAUGCCUCUGUCCCUCAGUAGAAAACAGCACACUGAACUCUGUGCUCCUCGGGACAUCUCAUGUAAUUAAAUAUGGUUUCCACAGAGGACAACCACAUUUCAGCUUUAGUAGGAUCCUCCAGUGACCCAUCAAACGUCUGAGGGUCAUACUUCUGAAAGUCCCUCAAAUGUUUCGCCUCAGCAGAAAGUUGGUUCGGUAAUCCUUGUGCACGAGGGGCUGCAGUGCAGGGGGAACUACAGGUGCAGUGGAACCGCAGGUUCCUGCUGGUUUUGAGCUAUAGCUGUCAUAAGUUUUGUAAACCUCUGCUCCAUGUGAGCAGACAGUGCAUCAAACUCAACGUGAGUCACGGGUGCAGCAGGAAUUCGCUGUUCAGCUUGACCCUCAGUAGGCUGAUUACGACCUGCGCCUCUACCUCGACCUCCUACUCCUCUACCUCGCCUCUACGACCUCCUCUACGUACACCCUCCUUGGCGGCAUAAUUCCUAUUAUCCACCAACAACACUCUUUAACAAAAUCUUAAUCAUAAGCAUAAGCAAGUCUUUAUCGUCAUGCAAUCUAGUUUAAUUUAGGCAAGGUCAUGCAAAUAAACCAUACAUAUAAGCAUCAAGCAUACCUGACGAGAGACGAAGGGUCGCGUUAGCCAUAGGAACACAAAAACAUAGACUUACAUCGUAAGUCAGUCUACAGAACCUAAAACUUAGGCUCUGAUACCAACUGUAACGACCAACUUUCUAUGUAAGUCGAGGUCGUUAUUAUUUUUUUUACACCUCACAAGAACCCAUAAGUGGAAGCAAAAACACGUUUCCUAUAGCAUCACGCUUCCUUCCUGCCCCUCGCCUGUUUGGCGCCUUUAUUACCUUUGCCUGAAAAUUAAACAUAAGAAGGGUUAGUAUUUAAAUACUCAGUAAGAGACCCUCUACUGGUCUCGUCAGGGGAAAAUAAAUUGUUAAAGUUCUAUUGGGACACCCUGUACAGUCGCAGUCUUGUGAUCCCGUAGGAUACACAUCUCAGUCUAACGCCUCGAGGGACGUACAUAUCAGUCUAACGCCCCGAGGGACGUACAUAUCAGUCUAGUGUUCUGCAGAAACACAUAUCAGUCAAAUGCUCCCGAAGGUGCACAAUAAAUUGGUGAUCCCGUGGGACACCUACAAGGUAAACAUCCCAAUACAAUCUAAAAAUUUUCCCCUCAUUCCAUUCAACCCAUCUUUCAGUUACUUCAAGUCACAAAGUUCUUUCUUUCAACAUCCUAACAGUCAACUUAUUUUACUACAGUCAUAUGUCUGUCAAUAAUAUGCUAAUACAUCAGUCAAUCCACUAUACAGUCAAUGCACCCCUCAGUUCACCAGCACACAGUCAUACUUUAGCGUAAUCAUACACCCAAUCUAAACGAGAAUCUCAUACAAACACAAUCUACAAUCUCCGUCCUGUCCAUAUACACACAUUUAUAUAUAGAUUCCAUGACAAUCACGACAUACAUUCGACGUCAAGUCUACUUCAAUUCAUAUACAUUCAUAUAUAUUUUCAGUCAACCCACAGUAUACAUUCAACACACAUACAGUUCACAAUCACAGUUCACAAUCACAAUUGAGUCCAGUAGAAAAUCCCUUACCUCGAUUUUAUGUAAAAUUUCUUGGUCGAACUAAUUCCAACAAACAAACCCCAAAGAGUAAAGAAUCGAAUUCCAACAAAGCUUAAGGCGUAACUCAAGGACAGUAACUCCAAAUCACCGAUGUCGCCUUCAAGAACAAACAUCAAUUCAACCAAUUAAACAAACAUCACAUCUUAAUGUAUUUACAAAUGUAAAACCUUAUUACCCAACAAUCUCAUCCUUACCAAUAACUUAUAACAAGACUUUGACAAUCAACGUUAAAAUAGAAGUUGCCGCAGCAGGAUCUACACAAAAGAAAUCGUGCAAACAAAUCUGCACGCGAAUCGGUCCACAAUUCGUAAAUGGACAGCGAGUAUCGACGAAGACAGAAUGGUUCGGACGUUCAACAGCAGUUACGCGCGGACGGGAGUAGCCCGGCAACGUAGCCGAACUCGUACGAUGCGGCGUGACCUGCGUCGGCGAGGCUGUUCGUGACUGAGGCGUGCGAUUUGCCUCGCGAACGGAGAUAGAGACGACGGCUGGGUUGGCUUCGACGGAGACAGGUGUUGCGCGGCAAAACUGGGCAGAGGCGGAAGAGCAACGGCAGUAACAGGUGGAUGGUCGUGGCAGUUUCGAUCCGAAGGAGAAAGAAAACGACCGGAAAGAAAAUAAGGGCGGCGGUUCCCGGGCUGCGACGCAGAUCUGGAUCAGACAGUUACGCGGCGGCUGCUGCAAGGCUGCUUCGCGAACGGAGAUGGAGAACGGAGUGGAGAAGAUGGAUAGGGGUCGCGGUCGCACGGGGAAGAAGAAGGGAGAAAAGAAAAGAAAAAGAAAAGAAGAAAAGAAGAGAAAAAAAUAAAGAAAUUUUUUAAUAUUAAAAUAAAAAUAAUAUAUAUAUAUAUAUAUAUAUAUAUAUAUAUAUAUUUACCUUUUCUUUGGGCAUUACAUAAUAUUACUUUAAUAGAAUUUAAUCCAUAUUUUCAUAGAAUAUUUAAUAAAUGAAAAUCUUAAACGUGGUUCACUUUUCUUUUUAUUUUUAAUAAUAUUAUUAAUAAUAAAAAGAGUAAAUUGGUUUAGAGGAUAUGCUACGAGCUUGUGUUAUAGAGAAUAUCAUACAUACAUAUUAACAUAUAUAUAUAUAUAUAUAUUUAGUUUUUAAAAUAAAGCAAUUCAGUUCGGUUUGAGAAUCGGUUCUUAACAUCUUAAACUGAACCGAACCGAAUUUUUAUGUGGUUUUUUUUAAAUAGAAAUCGAAUCGAACCGAACCAUAUGCAUUCGAUUUCGGUUCGAUUAGUGAUUCGAUUCAGUUUUCAACUUCAUUUUGAACACCCCUAUUACAGAUACUAGAGAAUAACAAAUAUUUUAAUGACAUAUAUUACAUAUACUCAUCAUAAUUAUUUCUCAUUCAUGUUCUUGUAAACAUAAACAACUUUCAUAUAUAAUUAAUAUUAUUUCAAACAUAAUGUAUUAUUUACUACGUAAGAUAUGAAUACUUAAAUAAAAUAAAUAAAUAAAUUGAUAUAAGAACAUUUCACUAAUAAAAUAUACAUUAUAUUAUUCAAUAUAUACUAUAAUUAUAUAAAAAUAUAUGAAAAAGAAUGCAAAAUAAAAAAUGACAAUUUUUUAAUAAAAUCAUAAAAAGCAAACUAAGGACAAUUUUUAUUAUUAAUAUUACUUUAAUAGAAUUAAUCCAUAUUUUCAUAGAAUAUUUAAUAAAUGAAAAUCUUAAACGUGGUUCACUUUUCUUUUUAUUUUUAAUAUAUUAUUAAUAAUAAAAAGAGUAAAUUGGUCAUUUUUACUCUAUAUUUGUAUAAAAUAUUAGUCAAUUUAUGAUAUUUUUGAAAAUUUUAAAAAAUUUAUUGCAAUUAAUUUUGUAACAUGGUAUACAAUUUUGAGUACACUUAGAUAAAAAUUCAAAAGAAAAAAAAUUUCACAUUAUAUAAGAUCAAGUCUAAACGGUAUAAAUUGAACCGCUGUUAAAACCGAAUAAACAAACCACACCAUUUAUGUACAAAACAAAAAACACAGUUUGUUGCUGGCUCAAAUAGUCCAAACCGAAUUUAAAUGGUUCGGCGUCUAUUUCAGCUUCAGUCUUCUGGAUUCAAGGAAAUUUUGAUCUUCCAAGUCUUCAAUAUUUCAGGAGAUGAUGAUCUCGAAGUUGAUAAAGAACUUGCACGUCUUGAGAGCUCUAUAGAAGUUUGAAUCUUCAAUUCUUCAAAGCUUCUGUACUUCAGAGCUUCAUUUCUUCCUUCAACAAAAGAUCUCUCGAAUGAAUGACAAAGGUCUCUAUUUAUAGAGAAAAUUUUGUGGACUUUAUGUGGGCUUGGACCCAUUUGCUUGUUGAGUUGUUGAGCUUGGACUUGGGCUUGGGCCCAUUUUCUUAGUGGGCUUAGGCCCCUUUAUUUGGCCUGAUUUUUUUAUCAGGGGCUUGAAUUGGGUUGGAAAACUUGACUACCCAAAUCCAAUCAAAUUAUAAUCAUCACAACUUGGGUGUGACGACGUGGUGUAAUUUCAUUGGUUGAAAUUUCUUGCUCAACAAUUACAUUUAUACUACUCCAUAAUACAUAUAUAUGUUGUUAGUCAUAUAAAAACAUUUACUGUAACGACCCAACUUUUCUAAGUAAGUCGAGGUCGUUAUUUUUUUUUUUUCAAAUAAAGACUUUGUUUAAUAUAAAACAAAACGUAAGCAAUUUAAAAAAAACAUCUUCAAGUCAGGCCUGAUUUUUAAAACAUUCAUAAAAUAAUACUAUUUACAACAAACGUUUGUAAACUAAAUUUCAAUCCAUUUUAAACCUCUCAAGAACCCAUAAGCAGAAGCAAAAACACGUUUCCUAUGGCAUCACGUUUCCUUCCUGCCCCUCGCCUGUUUGCCGCCUUUAUUACCUUUGCCUGAAAAUUAAACAUAAGAAGGGUGAGUAUUUUAAAUACUCAGUAAGAGACCCUCUACUCGUCUCGUCAGGGGAAAAUAAAUUGUUAAGUUCUAUUGGGUCAUCCUGUACAGUCGCAGUCUUGUGAUCCCGUAGGAUACACAUCUCAGUCUAACGCCCCAAGGACGUACAUAUCAGUCUAACGCCCCGAGGGACGUACAUCUCAGUCUAACGCCCGAGGGACGUACAUAUCAGUCUAACGCCCGAGGGACGUACAUAUCAGUCUAGUGUUCUGCAGAAACACAUAUCAGUCAAAUGCUCCGAAGGUGCACAAUAAAUUGGUGAUCCCGUGGGACACCUACAAGGUAAACAUCCCAAUACAAUCUAACAAUUUAUCCCUUCAUUCCAUUCAACCCAUCUUUCAAUUACUUCAAGUCACAAAGUUCUUUCUUUCAACAUCCUAACAGUCAACUUAUUUUACUACAGUCAUAUGUCUGUCAAUAAUAUGCUAAUACAUCAGUCAAUCCACUAUACAGUCAAUGCACCCCUCAGUUUCCAGCACACAGUCAUACUUUAGCGUAAUCAUACACCCAAUCUAAACGAGAAUCACAAGUUCAUAUCUACAUCUCAUACCAACACAAUCUAAAAUCUUCGUCCUGUCCACAUACACACACUUAUAUAUAUGUUCCAUGACAAUCACGAUAUACAUUCGACGUUAAGUCUACUUCAAUUCAUAUGCAUUCAUAUAUAUUUUCAGUCAAACCACAGUAUACAUUCAACACACAUACAGUUCACAAUCACAAUUGAGUCCAGUAGAAAAUCCCUUACCUGGAUCUUUAUGUAAAAUUCCUUAGUCGAACUAACUUCAACAAACAAACCCCAAGAGUAAAGAAUCGAACUCCAACAAAGCUUAAGGCGUAACUCAAGGACACUAACUCCAAAUCACCGAUGUCGCCUUCAAGAACAAAGAUCAAUUCAACCAAUUAAACAACAUCACAUCUUAAUGUAUUUACAAAUGUAAGACCUUAUUACCGAACAAUCUCAUCCUUACCAAUAUCUUGUAACAAGACUUUGACAAUCGACGUUAAAUAGAAGUUGCCGCAGGAUCUACACAAAAGACAUCGUGCAAAACACUUUUGCACGCGAACUGGUCCGCGACGGUGGGUAUCGACGAAGGCAGAACGGUUCGGACGUUCAACAGCAGUUACGCGCGGAUGGGAGUAGCCCGGCAACGUAGCCGAAUUCGUGCGAUACGGCGUGACCUGCGUCGGCGAGGCUGUUCGUGACUGAGGCGUGCGACUUGCCUCGCGGACGGAGAUAGAGACGGCGGGAGACGGUUGCAGAACCGUGGCUUCGACAGAGACAGAACCGGCUGAGACGGUUGGGCAGCGGCGGAAGAGCAACGGCGCCGCAGAUCUGGACUGGCAGCGGCGUGGUCUUGCUUCGCGGCAGGGCUGCGGACGGAAGAAGAAAAUGGAAGGAAAGGAUCGGCGGCUGGCUGCAGUUGGCUGCGGCGCGGACGGGAAGAAGAAGAUAGAGGUGGUGAUUGCGGCUGGGCUGCGGCUGGGCACGAACGGAAGGAGAAGAGGACGGUUAGGGCGGUUGCUGCACGAACGGAGAGAAGGGGAAGGAGGUCGCGGCGCACGGGAGGAAGAAGAAAAGGGAAAAAAAGAAAUUUUCAUUUUCUUUUUCUUUUUAUUUAAAAAAUAUAUAAAAUAAUUAUAAUAAAAAAUAUAUAAAUAUAUAUAUAUAUAUAUAUAUAUAUAUUAUAUAUUAAAUUUUCAUUUUCUUUUCUUUUAUUUAAUAAAAUGUAGAAUAAAUAUAAUAAUAAAAAUAUAAUUAAAUACAUAUAUAUUUAAUUAUAUUAAUACAUUUUCAAAUCUUCUUUCUCCCCUUCAACAUAUUUAAAAAAAAAAUCUUGAACAAAUCGAAAUAAUUCUCUCAAAAUAAUUUACCUUCAAGUUUGGGGCGUUACAUUCUUCCCUCCUUAAGAAACUUUCGUCCUCGAAAGUUCUAAUCCUGAAAUAACUCUGGAUAACGAGUCCUCAUCUCUUCCUCUCGCUCCCAUGUCGCCUCUUUAAUUCGAUGAUUCCGCCACAAAACCUUUACUAAUGGAAUGCUUCUAUUACAAAGCAUCUUUACCUCUCUAGCCAGAAUCUCCACAGGUUGUUCUACAUAGCUCAAAUGAUCAUCAAUCUCCAAGGGUUCAUAGUCCACUACAUGAGAUGUAUCGGCCACAUACUUCCUCAACAUCGAAACAUGGAAAACAUUAUGAACUGCAGAGAGUGAUGGUGGUAAUGCCAAGCGAUACGCCACAACACCAACCCUCUCUAAGAUCUCAAAUGGUCCAACAAAACGAGGACUUAACUUCCCUUUCUUCUCAAAAAUCAUAACACCCUUCAUAGGUGCUACCUUCAAGAAUACCUUUUCUCCCACAUCGAACUUAAGGUCUUUUCGCCGUACAUCUGCAUAACUCUUCUGUCUACUCUGCGCUGUUUGCAUACGUGCUCUAAUCUUUUGAAUAGCCUCAUUAGUAGACCGAACUAAUUCAGGUCCCAUCAACCUAUGUUCACCAACCUCACUCCAACAAACAGGGGUUCUACAACAUUUGCCAUACAAAGCCUCAAAUGGUGCCAUACCGAUGGUAGCCUUGAAACUGUUGUUAUAAGCAAACUCCAUCAAAUGUAGAUGAGAGUCCCAACUACCUGGAAACUCUAUAACACAAGCUCGUAGCAUAUCCUCUAAAACUUGGUUCAAACGUUCAGUUUGACCAUCAGUCUGUGGAUGAAAGGCUGUACUAAAAUCCAAUCUCGUACCCAUAGCAGUCUGAAGUCCCUUCCAAAACUUGGAAGUAAACCGUGCACCCUAUCAGAAACAAUCGAUACAGGCACUCCAUGCAGUCUCACAAUCUCAGUUAAAUACAACUCUGCCCACUUACUAGCAGUAUAAGUGGAUUUUCCUGGUACAAAAUGUGUCGAUUUCGUAAGCCUGUCUAUGACAACCAAAAUCACUGUGAAACCCUUCAGGGUCUUAGGCAGCCCUGAAAUAAAAUCCAUCAACACAUUCUCUCCCACUUCCACUCUUGCACACUUAAGGGUUGUAACAAACCUGCUGGUUUCUGUCUAGGUGCCUUAACUUGCUGACAUACUAGACACUUACUAACAAAUUCCGCCACUUCCCUUUUCAUAUUCCGCCACCAAUAAAAUCGUUUUAGAUCCUGAUACAUUUUUGUGCUACUUGGAUGCAUGAGAAAUGGGAAACUAUGAGUCUCAACCAAUAACCUUGUCUUAAUUGCAUUUUCUGUUGGCUCACAUAAUUCUCUCUCAAACAUAAGUUCAUCAUCAAAGGAUAUGGAAAACUCCUUAACUUGCCCUACUUCUACUAGGCAAUGCUUCUCAAUCAAAUAAGGAUCAAUGAAUUGAACCACAAGAAUUCUUUGUCUCAAGAUCGGAUGUACUGACAACUGAGCUAACUUUGAGGUGACUUCCCCCACUAAAACUACAAUCUCAGCUCUCUCGUGGUUUUUGUCUAAUGAAACCUGUCUGGUAAUAAGUGCUGUCAAAAUGUGAUACUUUUCUACGAAGAGCACCAACUUCCACAUUCGCCUUACCUAGAUGGUACAAAAUCUCACAAUCAUAGUCAUUUACUAACUGAAACCAUCUUUGCUAUCUCAUACUCAACUUCUUUUGAGUGAAAAAGUAUUUUAUACUCUUUUGGUUAGAAAAUAUCUAUAUCUUUUCAUCAUACAUAUAGUGUCUUCAAAUCAUUAAUGUAAAAACCACAACUGUCAAUUCCAUAUCAUAAGUUGGACAAUUUUCCUCAUGACUCUUCAACUGACGAGGAGUACAAGCAACUACUUUAACUUGUUGAAUCAUAAUACCUUUUAAACUUUCCUAAAAGCAUCACUAUAAAUUACGAAACUUUCUGAACCAUCAUGUACGGUAAGCACGAGAGUUGUACAAGCUUCUGCUUAAGAUCCUAAACACUAUCCUCAUAGGCUUUGUCCCAAACAAACAGAGUCCCUUUUCUUAGUUAACUGAGUCAAAGGAGUAGCUAUACGAGAAAAUUCUUAUACAAACCGUUAGUAAUAACCUGCUGAACCCAAAAAGACUACGAACCUCACUGACUAUGAAAGGUUGAGGCCAACUGGUAACGACUUCAAUCUUUUAUGAGAUCCACAUAAAUGUCAUCUCUAGAUACCACAUGGCUUGGAAAGAUACUUGGCCUCAUCCGAAACUCACAUUUUGAAAACUUUGCAUACAAUUUGUUGACUCGAAGAGCCUCUAAAACCAUGUUAAAUGCUCCUCAUGCGCGCUGUCUCUAUUUUGGAAUAAAUUAAGAUAUCGUCAAUAGAUACAAUCACGAAAGUGUCUAAGAGAUCGUUAAACACUUUGUUCAUCAAGUCGUAAACAUUGUUUGAGCAUUUGCCAACUCAAAAGACAUCAUAAUGAACUCAUGAUGUCCAUAUCACGAACGAAAAUCUGCCAUAGGAAUGUCACUGUUCUCUAAUCCUCAACAAGCCAUAACCUGAAUGUAAUUCAAUCUUAAAGAACACGGACUUAUUGCAGUUGAUCAAACAAAUCCUCAUUCAUUGGUAAAAAAUAUUUAUUCUUAACUGACACCUUAUUCAACUUUCUACAAUCAAAACAUAAGUGCAUCGACCAUCUUUCUUCUUAAUAAACAAAAAUUGGUGCACCCCAAGAUAACAUACUUCGUCGAAUGUAGUCCUUGUCAAACAUUUCUUUCAAUUGCACCUUCAAAUCUUUCAACUCUGUUGGGGCCAUUUUGUAUGAAGCUUUAGAUAUAGGAACGAGUCUAACUCUAUCUCAAUAGCAAGACCAAUUUCUGUUUAGCGCGGUAAUCUUAGAAACUCUUCUAGAAAAAUAUCAUAAUACUUUUUCACCACUGAUUCAAAUAACAAAGAAACAUCGACUUCUCUGGUGUCUACCACACUAGUCAAAUACAACAGGUACCCUGGUCAAGCAACUUACUAACCUUCAUAGCUGGGAUAACUUUUAGCGAAACGAUAAUUCCAACCUCUUUGUACUUGAAACUAGCCCAUGGUUAAACUACAUUCCAAUUUUCAAACUCCAAACUAGUAACUUUUCAUUCACGAGAAACUCAAAAUUCUUUCUUAAAGUCACAUCAAGACAACCAUGCUCAUCUUCCUUGUUUCUUUUCCAAUACCUCCAUUCUAAAACUAUUUAAUGUGUUUCGUAUAAACUUGACCGUGUAUUUAGUCCUCGUUAAAACCACCUACAUAACUUAUUUUUCUUAGAUUUCCAAUCACAAAACAGACAAUUUCGCUAACAACGUCUUACUUUUCUACUACUCGACAACUCCUUUGAACACCUCUACAUGGCAACAUUUUUCCUAAAUUUCACCAUUAAAUCCUUCACCAUUAAAUCAUAACAUUCAUGUAAUUCUAGUUUAACUUAGGCAAGGUCAUAUACAUAAACCAUACAUAUAAGCAUAAAGCAUACCUGACGAGAGACGAAGGGUCGCGUUAGCCAUAGGGACACAAAAACAUAGACUUACAUCGUAAGUCAGUCUACAGAACCUAAAACUUAGGCUCUGAUACCAACUGUAACGACCCAACUUUUCUAAGUAAGUCUUAUUUUUUUUUUUCAAAUAAAAGCUUUGUUUAAUAUAAAACAAAACGUAAGCAAUUUAAAAAAAACAUCUUCAAGUCAGGCCUGAUUUUUAAACAUUCAAGAAAACAUAAAAUAAUACUAUUUACAACAAACGUUUGUAAACUAAAUUUCAAUCCAUUUUAAACCUCACAAGAACCCAUAAGCGGAAGCAAAAACACGUUUCCUAUGGCAUCACGUUUCCUUCCUGCCCCUCGCCUGUUUGCCGCCUUUAUUACCUUUGCCUGAAAAUUAAACAUAAGAAGGGUGAGUAUUUUAAAUACUCAGUAAGAGACCCUCUACUGGUCUCGUCAGGGGAAAAUAAAUUGUUAAAGUUCUAUUGGGACACCCUGUACAGUCGAAGUCUUGUGAUCCCUUAGGAUACACAUCUCAGUCUAACGCCCCGAGGGACGUACAUAUCAGUCUAACGCCCCGAGGGACGUACAUAUCAGUCUAACGCCCCGAGGGACGUACAUAUCAGUCUAGUGUUCUGCAGAAACACAUAUCAGUCAAAUGCUCCCGAAGGUGCACAAUAAAUUGGUGAUCCCGUGGGACACCUACAAGGUAAACAUCCCAAUACAAUCUAACAAUUUAUCCCCUCAUUCCAUUCAACCCAUCCUUCAGUUACU
rnacentral:lncRNA from 1 species